rnacentral:rRNA from 1 species
AAAUUGAAGAGUUUGAUCAUGGCUCAGAUUGAACGCUGGCGGCAGGCCUAACACAUGCAAGUCGAACGGUAACAGGAAGCAGCUUGCUGCUUCGCUGACGAGUGGCGGACGGGUGAGUAAUGUCUGGGAAACUGCCUGAUGGAGGGGGAUAACUACUGGAAACGGUAGCUAAUACCGCAUAAUGACGCAAGACCAAAGAGGGGGACCUUCGGGCCUCUUGCCAUCGGAUGUGCCCAG